UACGUAGGGUGCAAGCGUUAAUCGGAAUUACUGGGCGUAAAGCGUGCGCAGGCGGUUUUUGUAAGUCAGAUGUGAAAUCCCCCGGGCUUAACCUGGGAACUGCGUUUGAAACUACAAGGCUAGAGUGUGGCAGAGGGGGGGUGGAAUUCCACGUGUAGCAGUGAAAUGCGUAGAGAUGUGGAGGAACACCGAUGGCGAAGGCAGCCCCCCUGGGUUAACACUGACGCUCAGGCACGAAAGCGUGGGGAGCAAACAGG
rnacentral:rRNA from 1 species